ensembl:lncRNA novel transcript, antisense to MAMDC2
CAUCCUUUACCAAAGCAACAUUGUCCCAGAAUCUGCUGAAGCAGCAAGAAAAGAGGUCAGCAGUAGGACCAAGCUGCAUAUCUUCUUAGGCAGGAGUGCAUCACUAUUGAGGCCAAAUGGACACUCACUAGCAAGGUGGCUGGAAACAACUGUUCUAGAAAGAACCCAAGGAAAAAUUUCCAGGAGGAACCCAAACAGAAAAAUCUAUGACUGGGAAGCUAAGGGAUUUGCCAAGGCAUGGGGAAAAGAGGAUCUUUAUGUUUGAAGAAUGAUAGAAAAAAUAAAGCUGUUCAUUAUUACAUUCUACCAUGUUUAGCCAAUUAAACAGGUUUUACUGGA